ACGGAAGGCAGCAGUGAGGAAUAUUGGUCGAUGGGCGGAAGCCUGAACCAGCCAAGUCGCGUGAAGGAUGAAGGUAUUAUGUAUUGUAAACUUCUUUAGCAGCAGAGUAAUAAGGGGGUCGUGACCCCCGAUGCAAGUAUGCUGAAAAUAAGGAUCGGCUAACUCCGUGCCAGCAGCCGCGGUAAUACGGAGGAUCCGAGCGUUAUCCGGAUUUAUUGGGUUUAAAGGGUGCGCAGGCGGUUUUUUAAGUCAGUGGUUAAAUCGUGAGGCUCAACCUCAUCACGCCAUUGAUACUGGAAGACUUGAUUGCGGUUGAGGUUGGCGGAAUUCGUCGUGUAGCGGUGAGAUGCAUAGAUAUGACGAAGAACACCGAUUGCGUAGGCAGCUGACCAAGCCGUAAAUGACGCUCAUGCACGAAAGUGCGGGGAUCGAACAGGAUUAGAUACCCUGGUA
rnacentral:rRNA from 1 species